UACGGGGGGGGCAAGCGUUGUUCGGAAUUACUGGGCGUAAAGGGCUCGUAGGUGGUCAACUAAGUCGGACGUGAAAUCCCUCGGCUUAACCGGGGAACUGCGUCCGAUACUGGAUGACUUGAGUUCGGGAGAGGGAUGCGGAAUUCCAGGUGUAGCGGUGAAAUGCGUAGAUAUCUGGAGGAACACCGGUGGCGAAGGCGGCAUCCUGGACCGACACUGACGCUGAGGAGCGAAAGCCAGGGGAGCGAACGGG
rnacentral:rRNA from 1 species